rnacentral:rRNA from 1 species
CCAAUAGCGUAUAUUAAAGUUGUUGCAGUUAAAAAGCUCGUAGUUGAAUUUCGGGGUUCUACCGUUGGUCGGGCAAUAGUCUGUACUGGCGUGUAGAAUUUCUACCUUCUGGAGAACCAUCAUGUUAUUUAUUUAGCGUGGUGGGAAACCAGGACCUUUACCUUGAAAAAAUUAGAGUGUUCAAAGCAGGCUUACGUCUGAAUACAUUAGCAUGGAAUAAUAAAAUAGGACGGUGGUCCUGUUUUGUUGGUUUCUGAAUCACCGUAAUGAUUAAUAGGGAUAGUUGGGGGCAUUAGUAUUCAAUUGUCAGAGGUGAAAUUCUUGGAUUUAUUGAAGACUAACUUCUGCGAAAGCAUUUGCCAAGGAUGUUUUCAUUAAUCAAGAACGAAAGUUAGGGGAUCGAAGACGAUCAGAUACCGUCGUAGUCUUAACCAUAAACUAUGCCGACUAGGGAUCGGACGAUGUUAAUUUUUCUUGACUCGUUCGGCGCCUUACG